ACCAAGAUUCAAUAGAUUACCAUCAAAUCCGCGAUUAUUUGUUGUUAAAUUCUGUAAUUUUGUGAUUGUUUACUGUUGCGCGCAGAUUUCAUCAUGACUAAAAGAGGUAGACCUACGAAAUCGCAACAAACACAAGAAGGGGAUUUAUCAUGACGAAAAGAGGACGUCCUCCAACUUCACAACCAUCCCAGUCUGAAGCUAAGAUUGGACAUCGACGAGGCGGUCGAUGAUAUACUGCCAGUAGGAAUUGCCCAAAAAUUUCAGGAGCGAUUAUCAGAGGCCGGGACUAGUACAACUUCGGAAGAGACGGAGGAUAGGA